GGAUGGCUCAGUGGUUAAGAGAAUUGAUUGUUCUUCCAUAGGUCCUGAGUUCAAUUCCCAGCAAUCA
rnacentral:tRNA from 1 species